rnacentral:rRNA from 1 species
UACGGAAGGCAGCAGUGGGGAAUAUUGCACAAUGGGCGCAAGCCUGAUGCAGCCAUGCCGCGUGUAUGAAAAAGGCCUUCGGGUUGUAAAGUACUUUCAGUCGUGAGGAAGGUGUUAAGGUUAAUAACCUUAGCAAUUGACGUUAGCGACAGAAGAAGCACCGGCUAACUCCGUGCCAGCAGCCGCGGUAAUACGGAGGGUGCGAGCGUUAAUUGGAAUUACUGGGCGUAAAGGGCACGCAGGCGGUUAAUUAAGUUGGAUGUGAAAUCCCCGGGCUUAACCUGGGAAUGGCAUUCAAGACUGGUUAGCUAGAGUCUUGUAGAGGGGGUAGAAUUCCAUGUGUAGCGGUGAAAUGCGUAGAGAUGUGGAGGAAUACCGGUGGCGAAGGCGGCCCCUGGACAAAGACUGACGCUCAUGUGCGAAAGCGUGGGGAGCAAACGAGGGAUUAGAUA